rnacentral:lncRNA from 1 species
CUGAUCUCUAUUCCCGGAUCUGCCUCUGGCUUCCUGCGUGACCUUGGGCUGGUCACCUACCUUUUCUUUUCUUUGGUUCCCAAAUUGUAACAUGGAAAUAAUUCUCUUCCUGCGGUGCCUCAGCCCCUGCUGCCUUUAGGGUGGUCGAGAUCCUCUGACGGGAGGAAGGUAGCACGUUUCCACUGGAGAAAUACUUACCCAGAGCACGGAGAUGGUUACCUAGCCAAGGUCACUGCUGCUGCAUGCCUGUAUCACGCAGCGAGCCAGCCUCCUCUUCCUUCCACGGGCGCUGAUCUCAGCGAGGCUUCCCCAGAGCCAGCUGCUCCCGGAAUAGUUUGGGAAUGAAAUGUCACCGUUUGAAACUGACCAUUUCAGUGAUUUGGCUUACGCUGCAGGUCUGCAGAGAAUUGAACCAGCAGCACUGCGGGGGCUGUAAGUUGCUGCAGGGACACAGGAGUGAGCCAAGGAACCAGGGGAUGGAACAAGAUGGAAGGAAGCUGCUUUUACACAGGUGUGCAGUGGUAACUCACCAGUACCUGGGGCAGGGAGCAGCAGCGUGUGGAUCCCUUUCCACCUCAAACAUAAAAGUCUCUUUGUAUGUCUCCUUUUCCCCAGACAUUGUGUGAUGAUUCUUCCCAUUCAAGUAGAUUUUUUAAGUCUCCUCUGAUCAAAUAACUCUAUAGCUUUAUUUUUUCUGCCAUUAAAAGAUGGACCCUGCUUGUUGUCGACCUAACCUGAAUAUUUUGCAAUAAAAUAAUGUCUCAGCUGAGAUUUAAGAGGGAA